rnacentral:lncRNA from 1 species
UGCAUCGACCUCUACGGAGACACUAUCAUGCAGCUGAACCGGACGCUAGAGUGCAUGUCCCCAAAAGCUAGUUGCACCGACUUCGAUGCUCAGACGUGGCUGAGCACCGCACUUACAAACACCGAGACCUGCCGACACGGCACAACAGAUUUCAACGUUUCCGAUUUCAUCACACCUAUCGUUUCAAAGACCGAAAUAUCCAAUCUCAUGAGCAACUGCUUAGCCGUCAACGGAGCCCUCUUGACCGCCGCAAACAAUGGUAAUCGGAAGGAUUUUCCGACGUGGGUUUCCGGGAAAGAGAGAAGACUUCUACAAUCGCAAUCUGAGCGUGCUGUCCGAGCUAACCUCGUGGUGGCCAAAGACGGGUCGGGACACGUCACGACGGUGCAAGCGGCUAUUGACGUGGCUGGACGGAGAAAGGUGACGUCAGGGAGGUUUAUUAUAUACGUGAAGAGAGGAGUAUAUGAAGAAAACAUAAACGUACGUCGCAAUAACGAUAAUAUAAUGUUGGUCGGAGAUGGAAUGAGAUCUACCAUUAUCACCGGUUAUCGUAGUGUCAAAGAUGGUUACACCACCUACAAUUCCGCCACUGCUGGUAAAUAAUUAAUUAAAGCUCCUUUAUUUUAUUCAUUUCUUAUUUAUUAGCAUGGACUGGAUCUAACAAAUUUUAGUAGUUUUAACACAACAAGUUUCUGUUAUGUCAGUAAUAAAAAUUCGAAAUUUUCCGUACGUAUUGGAUUUUCAAGUUAAAUCAUAAAUUGGGAUCUGUAUCAAUUAUUAGAACUAGCUAAAAAAAUUAGAAAUAAAAACGUAACGGUCGUGCUUUAUUUCCCGCAAAAUAAGUAAGCGUUACCAUUUGAAAAUUUGUUUCAUUUUUUCACUCGCUAUGUAACAUCUGGCUCCAUUAAUGCGUGUGAUCCAGGUAUCGAGGGACUUCACUUCAUAGCCAAAGGCCUAACAUUCCGGAACACGGCGGGUCCAGCCAAGGGCCAAGCCGUGGCACUCCGAUCAUCCUCAGACCUAUCAAUCUUCUACCAAUGCUCAAUUGAAGGAUACCAAGACACAUUAUUGGUCCACUCCCAACGCCAGUUUUACCGUGACUGCUACAUUUACGGAACCGUAGAUUUCAUAUUUGGAAACGCGGCCGCAGUCUUCCAAAACUGUCUCAUCCUCCCACGCCGCCCGCUCGAGGGUCAAGCCAAUGUAAUAACCGCGCAAGCUCGUGCAUAUCCAUUUCAGAACACUGGAAUUUCCAUUCAUAACUCAACUAUCCUACCGGCUCCUGAUCUAAUACCGGUGAUCGGUAACGUUAAGACGUACAUGGGGAGGCCGUGGAUGAAGUACUCACGCACCGUGGUUCUCCAGACGUAUUUGGAUAGUGUUGUUUGUCCGUUGGGUUGGUCGCCGUGGCUUAAAGGUUCGGAUUUCGGUUUAGACACAUUGUUCUACGCGGAAUAUAAUAAUAUAGGACCAGCUUCGUCCACGAGCGGGCGUGUUCGUUGGAAAGGGUUUCAUGUGUUGAAUAGAGCUUCCGAUGCAUCUGCUUUCACUGUUGGAAGCUUCAUCGCCGGUACUGCGUGGCUCCCAGGCACCGGCAUACCCUUCAAUUCUGGACUCUAAGGCUAUCUAUGGUUUGUUUUCUUUGUUAUCGUGCUUAAAGCUACAAUGAUAUAAAAAUUCUACGACUCUUGAAUAUGAAAUAAAGUUAUUACUAUGGAUGAACAAACGUGGAAAAUGUAGAAGACGCAUAAAAAUAUUUAGUUACAAUGCUUGAGACAUAAACCAACCCCCACGAACUAAAGUUGUUUUGAACCAUGAGAAGCAAAAGAUCUGAGAACAGAACCAAUUAAUGAAAUCAAAGAAGAAGAAAUAAGAGAGUCCUACAGUUAUACGACCUAACCAAUGGGAGAUCAGAAAGAGACUCAGCAAACCGAGGCGAGCAGAACCAUCAAGAAGCUGAAAAUUAGAAUCAAAUUUCCAUUUAGCAAUGAUGAUGCAGAGCUAUGGACUUGUUGCCUGCACAAAGUCACAAAAGAAAAGUUUCUCAAAAUUUCCACACAUCAUCAUCAAAAGGUGAUAUGAGAGGAAGGAGAGAUCAGCGAAGAUUGUAAUGCUCACUUCUGCAAGCUCUUGAGAGCACCACAGUAAAGAACAUUUUUGGGCUGACCCAUCUCUGUUUUACCGUUCUCCUCGGGGUUUAUGAUUCGGAUGUAUGUUUCUUGACCAAGAUACCAUCUGUCAAGAUUCUCAACUCUGAGAUUCCAAACUCCGGCAUUAUCAAGUGACAUCAAUACAGCAGUCCAUGCCCCUGGGUAAACCUGAAAGCAAACAUCAAACACACAAACAAAGUAAACUACCAAAUGGUAUGUACAAGAGAUUGUAAAUGUGAAUCAACCUCUACUGUGCUUCGUGCUAUUGCAUCCCAGUUGUUAUAAGAACCUUUUCUGUCUUCAGUCCAGUUACCAAAGUCCAUUCUACAACACAUGUCAGAGAAAUUAAAAAAAAAACUGAUAGAACAAUGUGAAAAUUAUAAGAAAGGCAUGAUGAUUAUCUUACGCAACGACGUAGAAAGAGUAUCCAUCAAUAUGGAAGCUCUGGACUUUGGUGUCAUUGUUCUGGAAUAUAAUUUGAACAAAUCUCCUGUACGUUGCGUUGAUGAUAGAGCUUCCCACACGGGGAGGUCUACUGUCAACAGGUCUUGAUGGGAAAUCCAUCUUAUAAACUCCUUUGACCCUAUGCUUAUCCGCAAGCCUCAUGGGCGUGCUUGGAUUCAGAAACGAAACACCGUUAAGCGUAGCACGAAGCGACCCAUUGAUUAUUGUCGGAGGCAUGCUUCUAAAAAUGUAUGUUCCUGUGAUAUUUAUCUGCCCGUAGUGAUAUGAUCCUUGUGGAUUCGGACGAGCUCCACUCGAAGAUGUGUUCUGCCUGCACACAUGACACAAAAAAAAAAAAAAGAAUCAGGAUUUACACUUAUACACACUUGCUUGAGAGAGUUUUGUUAGACAUUACUUGAUGGCUCUCUGUUGGUUCAUUACAGUCCAAGGGUGAGAAACAUCAGUCAACGGAACCGGAAGAGGACCAGAAGCAGGACCUUUGGAAUUCGAAUAAUGGAGAAUGCCAACACCUGUGACUCUUUGCCACACUUCUUCAUCCACAAAUCUAGCACUAGCCACAAUGUAGUAGUCACUCGAGGCGUUUUGGUCCAUUGUCACCAAGAAAGAGUAAGACUGCCCCACAUGGAUAUCAAAAUCAGUGAAGUUUGUCUGUGAGGUGUAGCGACCCUCGGUUUCGACUAAGAGCAGCUUAUGACUCUGAAUCCUAAAGUUCAAGCUUGUCGAGACACCAACAUUGUGAACACGGAUCCUAUACGUUUUCCCUGGAUCAACAUUGACAGUCUCGUGUUGAAUCCCAUCAGGUACACUGCUGUUGUACUUGUAAGGACCUUUCCCAUUGAUGAGGACUCCAUCAGGCAUCGCUAGCUCUUUACCAGAGUCAAGUACACUCCUUAACACCUAAUAAAGCAACAAACUUUCCACCAUUAGAACUUAAAUAACACCAAUAAUAGAACCAAGCAAGUAGUACACUUACGGUGUGGUUCUGAGUAUACCAAUCACCAAUCAUGAAGGUGAAUUCUCCAUCAGGGGUAGCGAACGGGAGAGGAAUACGAUACUGGUUAUCGAUUACGAUGGGACCAAAACCACCAGAAGCUCUCUGGAAGUUGAGGGAAGGGAAGUAGAAGAAACUACCGAUCUGAUCUUUGACUUGGAAGCUGUAAGUGAAGUUCCAUUGCGGAGGGAUGGGACAGUUCGUGCCGAGAACACCGUCUUGCCACGAGUUACGCCGCAUCUCUAUCCCAUUCCUUUUAUUCUAACAAAGUCAGUAAAAAUCACAAACAGAGAAACAAAAAAAUAAAAAAGAUGAGUCACCAAGUGAGUAGAAGAGGCUCAUCUAAACGAUUGAACACGUUAACUUCGACGUUAUAGUUUGUUGUGGCGGUUACAACGGGGCCAGGGAAUAUUCCGUUAACUGCUAUAACCUGCAACAAAAACAGAAUCGAUCAAAACGGAAUCACCAGAUCCCUACGGAGCAAGUAAACGAUACACGAGCUUGAGAAUCACUACGUGUUUAAUAAAAAAGAGGAUCGGAUAAGAUCGAGACGAAAAACCUGCUGAGGAACGCCGAGAGGAGAAGCAGUGACGUAAGAGAGCUCGUAAACGUAGGAGAUGGCAGGAUCCUCGGCGAGAGAGAGUCCGAAGAGAAGAGCGAAAGCGAAGAUAGAAAACCGCGGCGGCGGCAUUGUAUGUAUUGCUUCGAGUCAAAGAUCGAAGAAGGAGAAGAUGAAGAGAGUGUAAAGCGUGAGUGAGUGAGUGAGUGAGUGAGUGAGUGAGUGUGUGGAGGUUUUCGAAACUUCUUCUCUGACAAAGAGGUGGAGAAUAUGGAAGGUUUUUAAUCUCUAUUUAUUUAUUUAUUUGUUUGUUGAAUUUACUGGUUUACCGAGUUAACCGGUUCUUUUUUUUUUUUUUUAAAUUGUAGUUACUCGGAUGCUGAUUUAUCGUUUUUCAAAAUUUAAAUUGAUCCGUGACUAUUAUUUAUGUAAGUGCUUGUGAAUUUGGAGUACUUACCUACCAUGUUGUGUAAAUUGCUGUCAUUUGAGUAAGUUUCCAUUUCUAUAACCAUUAAUUCGUUUUUUUUGGUAUAUUACGUGUUCGAAUGAAUAUUUGAUGAUGAAUGUUUGUAUGUAGCACUAUGUCUUUUACUACAUAUCUGGAUAUUUUAUAAAUCUUGGUUUUGGAAUUGUAAGAGGAUCCAGCUUAUUAGAACUCACAACGCAUAUAUAGCAUUUCCCCGUUUGAUGUUUUUCAAAAGCUCCGUUUUUGUUGUUGAAGCUAACAAUUUACAGCCAAAACAUGAUAAAUAAAACAUUUUAGUUGAUAUUUUAAAAUGUAAUAACUACCUCCUCGAUUUAAAUGUUUUUAAAUGAUAUACAAUUUAAAAAUCUAUUUUUAAAAUACUUUUUGUAUUUUGAUUUAUUUUAUUAGAUAAUAAUUAGAAAUUGUAAAUGACGUCAAAAAUUAGUUUAUAAAAUUACAAUUAGUUUGAAGGUACUAAAAAUAGUUGGCUAUGAUAAAAAAAAUCCUUUAAAAUAUUUAUUCGUAAAUUCUGUAAUUUUAAAGAAUAAAGAAAAAUUCAUCUUUCUUUUUAUUCGUUUUGGUAGCUAUUCAAUGCCUAAAUCUUUUUAAAAUAUCCAUGAAACCUUCACUACUAGCAGCAAUCAGUAUUAUUAUUAAAAUUUAAAUUAAAAAUAUUUUCUCCAACUACACAAGUUCUGUGUUAGAGCAAUUCCAAUGGAUACACAAUGAGAGAAAAUAAAGAUACUUCCUUGAAGGUGCGGUGUUCCUACUGUUCCUAUCCCAUAAGUAAGUUAAUUUUUCUCUCUUUAUGGCUGAUUAAUUAGUCGAUGGCUUGAUCUCGAGUUCCAUUAUUUAAUUUAUCACAUACUCCAUAUCAUUGUGUAGGUGAAUAAUAUGGUUGAGCAAAUAUAAUGUAAGGUAAACAGAAAACAUCUACGUAUGCCGAUCUUAGCAUGCCCUAGUUUAUUGUAUUUUUUUGGUACAAAUGUUAAAAGCAUGCCCUAGAUUAUGUUGUUUUGCUUUCUUAACUUGUAUCUUAAUUAUGUUUAAGAACUAAGACAUCUGUGUUGUGGACGGAGCAAAUCAUCAAGUUCCAAUGCACUCCAAUUAUACUUCGCAAGUCGCAACGGAUGCAUGCUAACAUUAAGCUUUGUGACUCUCUUCGUCGUAUAAUAACAUUGUUUUCUAAAUUAUGAGAAGUACGUACGGUGGGUUUGGAAAAGGUUCUAAGCACCGGAUUCGAAACCUACCAAAUUUCUAUUUACUUGUUUGUAUUGUUAGUCGACAUCGGUAUAUAAUCCCCAUUACAAACAAAUGGGCCUGUCUGGCACCGGUAGAUAGGGAAUAGCCGGUAUAUAAUUCCCAUUAGACUUUGGUCUGUUGGAUACCCUGGAUUAUCAAAAGAAAAAAAAAUUACGAACGAAACAAACUCAUAGUUACAAAUCUUUUUUUGAACGGCACUCAUAGUUACCACUCUAAAUAACACAUUAUGUUAUAUUUAAAUGAAAUAUGAAUUACAUGACAGGAAAAGUGAAUUAUUUUCAGAAUUCAAGUCUCUUUAUUUAUUUUCCAAUCGCAAUCGUCAAGUUUAUAUCCAAUGAAGAUAUAAACUACGUACAUAUAUACGUGUAAAGUAUAUAGAUGUGCAUGUGUUUGUAGAUAUGAAAGUUAAUAAAAUAAGUGUAUAUAUUAUGUAUAUAUCUGUAGUACAGGUUCUGUACUACUUAAACAUGAUAUUUUUUAGAAAUCAAUUUUGUCUGUAUAUUUUAUUUACUAAAAUAUUAUUGUAAAAUAAAGUAAAAAGUAUUUAUCAUUUUCCAUAGAUGAAACAAAUAAAUUUAUAUGUAUUAAUCACUAAUCAUUCCUAACUACUGUAUUUUAUUUUUCCAUAAUAUUUAUAUAUAAAAACUGGCGAUUAAAUAAUUUAUAUAGUCAUAAAGUCUAUAUUUAUAUAUGCAUGAUGUUAUUAGGUAAUUUAAAAUUUUAAAGCAGAUAUAAAUAAUUUAAAACUAAAAAGCUUAAAAUACGAUUUAUUUGGCAUUUAAAUAUUAAAAUAUUUAGCUGUUUAAAAUAACACUUUUUGUUUAUUGUGUAUAUUUAAAACAUGACAUUAUGUGUGACUUUGUGUAUCAGCUUGAAUUUAUGGGUGUAAUUGGUAUUGGAUGUAGGUGCUGUCCACAACUUCAUUUAUUUCUUCAUCACUAAAUUCACAGCAAACAAGAUUUAAUAAAAAAAUUUCAAAAUUACAGUUCUUUGAAUAACAUACAACUGUACAAGUGUUCUGUAGAGCUAAAAAUCCAGAGCAAUUUUUUGGAGUUUUCCAUAAAAUUCUACAGCAAUAAAAUCUAAAAGUAAGAGUAAAAAGUCUACAGAUUUUUUUCUACAUCCAAAAUUUUAAAGCUACAUCCAUUAUCAAUUGGACCUUAUGUAUUAGUUUAUCUGUUUUGUGAACUUAUGUUUAUGAUCACAAGUUUAGAAAAAAAAACUUUUGUGAUCACACAUACUAGCUUUAAUUUGAAGUACUUAAAUUUCUGUACAAUUUUUUUUUAAAAAAAAAAUCUGUUGAUUGCAAAUAAUUAAAUAUGAUUUUAUACCUGACCUUAGCAUAAAAUUGUAAUUAUGUUUUUAUUGAUAGUAACUUUUAUUUAAUUGUUUAGCAAUUGACAUUUUUCAAUCAGAGUUUUUCACAGUCGACUAUAAGUAAAGAACUAAAGACUAUUCUGCGAGCGAUAAAUUUACGGAAUAGAGAUGCUUGGAGAACCAAACCUAUUUUCUCGCUGUAUGAUGGGAAACAAUAUUUGAUGCAUGAAACUCUUCAAAUGGAGUAUAAUUUUUUUUUUCUUAUGUGUGAUGCAGGUAGAAACUAUGAAACUCUUUAAAUAUUUGUUUCUAUGCCGAGUGCCGACAAAACUAUGACUUUAUUAUUUAAAGUUUUUGGGCAAAAUUGUUUUGUCGGCACUCGGCAUAGUUAAUGGACAUAGUUUUCUCCUUAGUUAAUUAAUGGAAAAACAAAAAGGUGGCCCAAUGUAAUUGGAGAGUGUGAUGGGGAUAGUUGGAAGAGUUCUGAUGUUUACUGUUGGAUACGCGUGUCCUUCUGCUACACACACUAUUUAAUUGGACGGUAUUCAAAUUUAAUUCGCACAGUACGAACCUAAUAGUUGAUAAAUUAUUGAUUUAUCGUGUGCGAAACCAAAAUAAAUAUUUUAUUGUAAUUUACAAUUUUUCCAUUUUCUUUAUUUAUAGUUAUACUAUAUCGCUAGAUAAUCUUCUUUUUUAAUUUUGUCAAUGUUAAGACAAAAAAUAUUAACAAACAAAUAUACUAUCACUACAAAUCUUGUAAUAUCGCUCAAACCUAAUAUUAUAUAUCUAAAAACAACCAAGGUGUUGUAAACUAAUAAAUUCUCAAAAGUAUAAUAUUAGAUAUUUACGUAAUCUCUGACAGACUAACGUAUAUGUACAUAAAAAUUGUGAUUAUGAAACAAAUUCUUCUGGUUAGUAGACAAGCCUAGAAGGAAUGAAAUGCAUUAAAUGCAAAUCCAACUAAUAACAGUCUUAACAUAUUCUAGUUAGUAGUUAGUCAUCCUUUUCCCAUUCUAAAAUCCCUAUAUAAAACCCAUCAUCAACUCACACUUUUCUCACAUCCAACAUCAUAACACAAGCUUAGAAUCACAAAAGCAACUAAGUCUCCUUAUUUUCUUAUCACAAGACAAAAGAGAAAAGCAAAAGACAAUGGCUUCGGCUCUGAGUUUUUUCACAUGCCUUGUUUUGACUGUGUGCAUAGUUGCAUCAGUAGAUGCAGCAAUCUCAUGUGGCACAGUGACAAGUAACUUGGUUCCAUGUGCCGGCUAUCUAAUGAAAGGCGGGCCGGUGCCAGCUUCAUGCUGCGCCGGAGUUUCAAAAUUGAACAGUAUGGCUAAAACCACACCGGACCGCCAACAAGCAUGUAAAUGCCUAAAGACCGCUGCAAAGAGCGUCAAUCCAAGUCUAGCCUCUAGCCUUCCUGGAAAGUGCGGUGUUAGCAUUCCCUAUCCUAUCUCCAUGAGCACUAACUGCAACACGUAAGCUUUUUUUUUCUUUAAGUGAAAUUUCACAUUCUUUUGUUUUAUUUUUACGUGAUUAAUUACGCGAUAUAGAUAAAGACCAUGAUUUACUUCUUUUAUAUUGUUGCAGCGUCAAGUGAAGUGGGAACUCAUAUAUCAUGGAUGAAGAGUAUGGUCUAUAGCAUAAAUAAAAAAGGGUCUAUCUACGCUGACCUCAGCAUGCCCUAGUUUGUCUUGUUUUUAUUUUGUUGUUGAAAAGUUUGUCAUGUUACUUUGUAAUCUUUUGCUUUAUAUAUAUUGGGUCUCAAUUAUGUUUAAGAUAUGAUAAUAUUAUCUUAUUAAUCAUCUUCUCUUCGUAUAUUUUCUUCAAUAUUAAUCAUAUGUAGUGAAUGAGAGUACUAUAUAUAUAUAUAUCAAAAUCUAUAUAUAUUCAUUAAUUAAGAUCUUAGAUUUUGGUGUCUUUAUAAAAUUUAGAUUGGUACCAAAUUUAAAACCAAACAAUGUUUAGAAAUACCAAGAAGAAAUGCUGAAUGGUUUCUCCCAUCCAAUUAUAAACUUUAAGAUGACAAGGGCUUAGAUAUCACCGUCACAAUCAUAUUCAUAUAACGACAACUUAAUUACAACAUUGUUUUUGUUGAAUCUAAAUACAAUAUUACUAACAAUCGAGAUUGAAUUAUGAAUCAAAAGAAAUUUUCAUACACGACGAUUUCAACUACGCAAAUCUUUUCUUUCUUUUUUACAAUUACACGACGAUUACUUAUCUUAGUCUGAAAUGGCUUUCGAGUCUUCUUGUUGCAUUGAUAUCUCGCAAUCAUGUGUGUCCAACUUUUCUAAAAAAAUAAACAAGAUUCUGCACGGUUUACAUAUAAGUCGAUCCAUCUUGUGCUUCAUCUAGUACCCUAUUGCUUGCUCGAAUCUCUCUUUUUGUAACUAUCUGAUUCUAGCGGAUUGCUAUUGGUCAUUGACAUAAACGAUAUGAUAAAAGCUAUGUUUAAGAAAAUAGACGAUUCAAAUAAGACAAAAUGAUAGACAUGAAGUCGAGAUAUAAUCUCUUUACUUAACUUUAAAUAUUUGCUCCGUAAUGAGACGAGACUGUAUGAAUAUCGAGUCCCAAGAUAUAACCAUGGGAAACGAUCACGCUUCACUCGUGAACGCCCUAUCGAACUAUAAACUCUACGAAACACUUUCAGACUUAUGACUUACGCUAAGGAAUUUUUUAUUGUUGGUUUUGAUGUAAAAAGUAGUGAAAUGAAUGAAGAGAAUCAGGUUUAUUUUAAAUAGAAGAACAAGAGUCACUUCCCGCAACAGUUGCUGCACGUGGGCGGAAAUUUCGCGGAGAUUACGGGAAGUUGAAUUUCAAAAAUUAUUCCCCAAGAUUCACUCUUAUCUCGUUUAAAUAUUCCGAGAGAAUAAAAUGAAUGAUAUUUUUAUUUUCUAGAUAAGUUACUUGUCGGGCAAAAACAUUGAGUUUUACUUGGUCCCAGAAGCCUUGACUCAAGACCCAUGUCCACGCCCACGCCCAACCAGCCGGUGGCAACAUGCACAUAGAAAGCCUACAUCUCUCUUCAAGCCGUUUACAAUCUUAUGUCAUAGACACAUAUAUAAAUAACUCUUCUCUUAUCUACUUCCCCGACGUGGGACAUUUCUCAUAUACUUAAAUGACUUGAUUUUGGGCUUAAUAAUAUUUAGCCCAAGUCAUUUUUCAUUACAUUUUAAAUAAAAGCCAUUGGGCCUUUUAUUUGAUCCAACACCUGCAACUCC